rnacentral:rRNA from 1 species
CACGGGGGGAGCAAGCGUUGUUCGGAAUCACUGGGCGUAAAGGGCGUGUAGGCGGUCAAGUAAGUGGGAUGUGAAAGUCCCUCGGCUCACCCGAGGACCUGCAUCCCAAACUGCUUGGCUUGAGUAUGGGAGAGGAUGAGGGAAUUCCUGGUGUAGCGGUGAAAUGCGUAGAUAUCAGGAGGAACACCGGUGGCGAAGGCGCUCAUCUGGCCCAAUACUGACGCUGGAGGCGCGAAAGCUAGGGGAGCAAACGGG